GGGCGCGUAGCUCAGUGGUAGAGCACACCCUUCACACGGGUGGGGUCGCAAGUUCAAUCCUUGCCGUGCCCA
rnacentral:tRNA from 1 species